UACGUAGGGUGCAGGCGUUAAUCGGAAUUACUGGGCGUAAAGCGUGCGCAGGCGGUUUGCUAAGUCAGGUGUGAAAUCCCCGGGCUUAACCUGGGAACUGCGCUUGUAACUGGCAAGCUUGAGUGUGGCAGAGGGGGGUGGAAUUCCACGUGUAGCAGUGAAAUGCGUAGAGAUGUGGAGGAACACCGAUGGCGAAGGCAGCCCCCUGGGCUAACACUGACGCUCAUGCACGAAAGCGUGGGGAGCAAACAGG
rnacentral:rRNA from 1 species